rnacentral:sRNA from 1 species
GUUUCGUGUCUGUUUUAGCUUUCAUAAGUAUAUUGUAAUCAAAUCAUAUUUCCUAUUUCCUAAUUCUUUACAGUUUUGAAAUUCUUACUUUAAGUCUAUUUUGUUGUAAACUGUGGUUUCAAUAAGAAAAUUCAUUGGCAUCAAUUUUCAUGGAUAUGUUAAUCUGUUGACAAAUUAAUGGUCCAUUUUAUAAAACCUGCUAUCAAGUAUUUAACUUUGAUGGGCAUUUGGUUUUUUGUUGAUCACCAUGAAAUCCACAAAAAUUGAUGUUUAAUCAGUUUUGAUGAAACCACAAUUUAUUGCAUGGACAAAUUAUUUGGAAAAAAGUUCUAGCACUUUGCUAUAAGUCAUGCCUGGAAUAUGAAUAAUAUGGCAUUUUCAAGGCUCACUACAUUUAAGCAUUAAGUGGAAGUUACAAUACUUUGUAGAUGUAGUUUUAUCUAGUUUUAGGGACAAAUUGUUAUGGUUUAGGCAGCUAUGAAUGGAAUGAUAUUUUAAUUAUCAUCAUGGUUACAAACUGUUAAAUUGUUUAUCAAGCUCAGAGAUAAAUAUAUAAUACAUAAGUCUAUUAUUCAUGAAAAUAGACUUUCAUUUGCUGGUUAUGUCUUAUAGAUUUAUAAAAUAAAAUCUCAUAUUGCUAGCAAUAAUGUGAAUAAUUAAUAAUCUGAGAAAACUUUUUUUUAAAUAAUUAUAAUAAAGUCAAUUUAAAAGUGUUUUGGGUUUGUAAAACGUAAUUUGAAAAUUUUGUACAGUUAUUUAGUAAUUUCAAUACUCACAGCUCUUUAUAAAACAAUGUACUGCAAUAUUUUUUCUGUGAUACUUGUGGGUAUUUUUCAGGUUUAGAUGGUAUUUUCUCACCAUGAUAGACAUUAUUACUCACUGGUUUAUGGAAUUGGGUUUUCAUAGAAGUAUAUUAUGAUUCAGGUGUUUCAACUUAAAAAAAACCUUGCUUAUUUGUAGAGAAUUCAUUGAUGUACAUAUGAUAUGAUAUUGCCAAAUGGUGUAAAAUUGGAAAUAAAUGCUUUAAAUCUU